AUGCAGUCGNAACGAUGAAGCCUUUCGGGGUGGAUUAGUGGCGAACGGGUGAGUAACACGUGGGCAAUCUGCCCUUCACUCUGGGACAAGCCCUGGAAACGGGGUCUAAUACCGGAUAACACUCUGUCCUGCAUGGGACGGGGUUAAAAGCUCCGGCGGUGAAGGAUGAGCCCGCGGCCUAUCAGCUUGUUGGUGGGGUAAUGGCCUACCAAGGCGACGACGGGUAGCCGGCCUGAGAGGGCGACCGGCCACACUGGGACUGAGACACGGCCCAGACUCCUACGGGAGGCAGCAGUGGGGAAUAUUGCACAAUGGGCGAAAGCCUGAUGCAGCGACGCCGCGUGAGGGAUGACGGCCUUCGGGUUGUAAACCUCUUUCAGCAGGGAAGAAGCGAAAGUGACGGUACCUGCAGAAGAAGCGCCGGCUAACUACGUGCCAGCAGCCGCGGUAAUACGUAGGGCGCAAGCGUUGUCCGGAAUUAUUGGGCGUAAAGAGCUCGUAGGCGGCUUGUCACGUCGGAUGUGAAAGCCCGGGGCUUAACCCCGGGUCUGCAUUCGAUACGGGCUAGCUAGAGUGUGGUAGGGGAGAUCGGAAUUCCUGGUGUAGCGGUNAAU
rnacentral:rRNA from 2 species